UACGGAGGGGGCUAGCGUUAUUCGGAAUUACUGGGCGUAAAGCGCACGUAGGCGGCUUUGUAAGUCAGAGGUGAAAGCCCGGGGCUCAACUCCGGAAUUGCCUUUAAGACUGCAUCGCUAGAAUUGUGGAGAGGUAAGUGGAAUUCCGAGUGUAGAGGUGAAAUUCGUAGAUAUUCGGAAGAACACCAGUGGCGAAGGCGACUUACUGGACACAUAUUGACGCUGAGGUGCGAAAGCGUGGGGAGCAAACAGG
rnacentral:rRNA from 1 species